AAGUCGUAACAAGGUUUCCGUAGGUGAACCUGCGGAAGGAUCAUUAAAGAAUUAGGCUUCGCGGCCAAGUUCUCACCCUUUGUAUACCGAAAACCCAUGUCGCUUUUGGCCAUUGGGCCCCAUGGCCCCAUUUGCCAUUUCCUGGGCCCGGGUCCUGGCCCCCAAGGAAGGGGUUUUAAUUAAAACCCCUAGAAAUCUCUGCUGUCUGAGUACUAUACAAUAGUUAAAAAC
rnacentral:misc_RNA from 1 species